GUUGUGUAUAUUGUCUCAGGGUGGAUAUGGGAGGGGGUUCGGGCGUUGGAACUCCUGGAAACAUAUGAUUGGACCCUUCCCCUUUCCUCCUUUUGAAAAUGGCUGUAUCUGCCCUGUGUCUUGAUUUAAUGAUACUAAGUUACACAGGUAGUAAACACGUAGGUUUUUACAGAAGAACAACAACUGCAUUUUCUACCCUAUUCAUGACACGGUAUUUUCGUUAAAUGUUUGUUAUCAUUCUCUGUCUUCUUCUUCUUCUUCUUCUUCUUCUUCUUCUUCUUCUUCUUCUUCUUCUUCUUCUUCUUCUUCUUCUUCUUCUUCUAAGUAAGGAACCGUAUUCAUGCUGAAUGUUUUUGGUCCCGCGAAAUCUAAGCGCAUUGCCGGGCAAGACAGCAAGUCCUCUCAAAGUUAUAUACAUUUGAAACAUUCGCCAAUUUACAAUUAAAAUUAUGUACACUCUAUGCUGUUCACUUCCUUCCAGGGCAUCCUUUUGUAUACUUCAAAUUCAUAUUGGAUACCAGACAGUACUGUAUAUUAUAUUGUGUGUCCACAUAUAUUAUAUAUGUCGUUUGUUCAUUUGACAAUAUAUAAUCCAUAAAGAUAAAGUCAAGACAAGACAAAUUAACCUAAAGAGGGGUUUUGGCUCUGAACAGGAGAGUGAAGAUGUCCAGAAAUAUGUUAAAUAAAAGAUGAAUGAAAAUAAAUGUAUAACAACCAACCAUUGACCGAGCUGUUUGGUCAUAUAUACCAGCUAUAGAACUUGUGUAUGAACAUAUGAGUAUCGUAGAUACUUUGUUUACAUUUUUGCAUUCAAAUAAAAACUAGAUAAACAAGUCAAGUAUAAAGAAAUACUCACGUAAAAGAUUCCUAAUUUCUCCCACUAUAUUUGGUAUACUUCUUUCUCUAAAAGAAAAUUCGCAUUGCAGUUCAUAAAGCACAAACAUUUGAUGUUUUGUCAUGUAACCAUAAAUAAAAUAUAAAUU
rnacentral:lncRNA from 1 species